rnacentral:rRNA from 1 species
GAUGAACGCUGGCGGCGUGCCUAAUACAUGCAAGUCGAGCGAACAGACGAGGAGCUUGCUCCUUUGACGUUAGCGGCGGACGGGUGAGUAACACGUGGGUAACCUACCUAUAAGACUGGGAUAACUUCGGGAAACCGGAGCUAAUACCGGAUAAUAUUUCGAACCGCAUGGUUCGAUAGUGAAAGAUGGCUUUGCUAUCACUUAUAGAUGGACCUGCGCCGUAUUAGCUAGUUGGUAAGGUAACGGCUUACCAAGGCAACGAUACGUAGCCGACCUGAGAGGGUGAUCGGCCACACUGGAACUGAGACACGGUCCAGACUCCUACGGGAGGCAGCAGUAGGGAAUCGUCCGCAAUGGGCGAAAGCCUGACGGAGCAACGCCGCGUGAGUGAUGAAGGUCUUCGGAUCGUAAAACUCUGUUAUUAGGGAAGAAUAAACGUGUAAGUAACUGUGCACGUCUUGACGGUACCUAAUCAGAAAGCCACGGCUAACUACGUG